rfam:TPA: Bos taurus chromosome 13, whole genome shotgun sequence.
UCCCUGAUGGUCCAGGGGAUAAGCCUCUGCACUAUCAAUGCAGGGGACCCAGGUUUGAUUCCUGGUCGGGGAA